UACGAAGGGGGGCUAGCGUUGCUCGGAUUGACUGGGCGUAAAGGGCGCGUAGGCGGUUCGUACAGUCAGACGUGAAAUUCCUGGGCUCAACCUGGAGGCUGCGUUUGAUACGUGCGGACUUGAGUGCGGAAGAGGGUCGUGGAAUUCCCAGUGUAGAGGUGAAAUUCGUAGAUAUUGGGAAGAACACCGGUGGCGAAGGCGGCGACCUGGUCCGAUACUGACGCUGAGGCGCGAAAGCGUGGGGAGCAAACAGG
rnacentral:rRNA from 1 species